AAGACUUAAAUGGGAAAUGACAGAUUUAGAAAUAGAUCCUUCUUCGGACAUUUUUCAAGGUGCUGCAUGGUUGUCGUCAGCUCGUGCCGUGAGGUGUUAGGUUAAGUCCUGCAACGAGCGCAACCCCUGUCACUAGUUGCUAACAUUAAGUUGAGGACUCUAGUGAGACUGCCUACGCAAGUAGAGAGGAAGGUGGGGAUGACGUCAAAUCAUCACGGCCCUUACGUCUUGGGCCACACACGUGCUACAAUGGCCGGUACAGAGGGCAGCUACCUAGUGAUAGGAUGCAAAUCUCGAAAGCCGGUCUCAGUUCGGAUUGGAGUCUGCAACUCGACUCUAUGAAGCUGGAAUCGCUAGUAAUCGCGCAUCAGCCAUGGCGCGGUGAAUACGUUCCC
rnacentral:rRNA from 1 species